rnacentral:rRNA from 1 species
GGGCGGAGGUGGAAGUGCAGUAAUGUAUGUAGCUGACCGUCACUAAUAGGUCGAGGGCAUAACCAAG